GAUGAACGCUAGCUACAGGCUUAACACAUGCAAGUCGAGGGGCAGCAUGGUCUUAGCUUGCUAAGGCCGAUGGCGACCGGCGCACGGGUGAGUAACACAUAUCCAACCUGCCGUCUACUCUUGGACAGCCUUCUGAAAGGAAGAUUAAUACAAGAUGGCAUCAUGAGUCCGCAUGUUCACAUGAUUAAAGGUAUUCCGGUAGACGAUGGGGAUGCGUUCCAUUAUAUAAUAAGCGGGGUAACGGCCCACCUACUCUUCGAUGGAUAGGGGUUCUGAGAGGAAGGUCCCCCACAUUGGAACUGAGACACGGUCCAAACUCCUACAGGAGGCAGCAAUGAGGAAUAUUGGUCAAUGGGCGAGAGCCUGAACCAGCCAAGUAGCGUGAAGGAUGACUGCCCUAUGGGUUGUAAACUUCUUUUAUAAAGGAAUAAAGUCGGGUAUGGAUACCCGUUUGCAUGUACUUUAUGAAUAAGGAUCGGCUAACUCCGUGCCAGCAGCCGCGGUAAUACGGAGGAUCCGAGCGUUAUCCGGAUUUAUUGGGUUUAAAGGGAGCGUAGAUGGAUGUUUAAGUCAGUUGUGAAAGUUUGCGGCUCAACCGUAAAAUUGCAGUUGAUACUGGAUAUCUUGAGUGCAGUUGAGGCAGGCGGAAUUCGUGGUGUAGCGGUGAAAUGCUUAGAUAUCACGAAGAACUCCGAUUGCGAAGGCAGCCUGCUAAGCUGCAACUGACAUUGAGGCUCGAAAGUGUGGGUAUCAAACAGGAUUAGAUACCGUGGUAGUCCACACGGUAAACGAUGAAUACUCGCUGUUUGGGAUAUACUGCAAGCGGCCAAGCGAAAGCGUUAAGUAUUCCACCUGGGGAGUACGCAGGCAACGGUGAAAAUCAAAGGAAUUGACGGGGGCCCGCACAAGCGGAGGAACAUGUGGUUUAAUUUGAUGAUACGCGAGGAACCUUACCCGGGCUUAAAUUGCAGAUGAAUUACGGUGAAAGCCGUAAGCCGCAAGGCAUCUGUGAAGGUGAUGCAUGGUUGUCGUCAGCUCGUGCCGUGAGGUGUCGGCUUAAGUGCCAUAACGAGCGCAACCCUUGUUGUCAGUUACUAACAGGUUCCGAUGAGGACUCUGACAAGACUGCCAUCGUAAGAUGUGAGGAAGGUGGGGAUGACGUCAAAUCAGCACGGCCCUUACGUCCGGGGGUACACACGUGUUACAAUGGGGGGGUACAGAGGGCCGGUACCACGGGAGUGGAUGCCAAUCCCCAAAACCUCUUUCAGUUUGGAAUGGAGUGUGCAACCUGACUCCAAGAAGCUGGAUUCGGUAGUAAUCGCGCAUCAGCCACGGCGCGGUGAAUUACGUUUCCCCGGGCCCU
rnacentral:rRNA from 1 species